GACGAACGCUGGCGGCGUGCUUAACGCAUGCAAGUCGAACGGAAAGGCCCUGCUUUUGUGGGGUGCUCGAUUGGCGAACGGGUGAGUAACACGUGAGUAACCUGCCCUUGACUUUGGGAUAACUUCAGGAAACUGGGGCUAAUACCGGAUAGGAGCUCCUGCUGCAUGGUGGGGGUUGGAAAGUUUCGGCGGUUGGGGAUGGACUCGCGGCUUAUCAGCUUGUUGGUGGGGUAGUGGCUUACCAAGGCUUUGACGGGUAGCCGGCCUGAGAGGGUGACCGGCCACAAUGGGACUGAGAGACGGCGCAGACGCCUACGGGAGGCAGCAGUGGGGAGUAUUGCAGAAUGGGCGGAAGCCUGAUGCGGCAACGCCGCGUGCGGGAUAACGGCCUACGGGUUGUAAACCGCUGUCGCCGGUGACGAAGAGUGAGUGACGGUAAUGGGUAAAGAAGCACCGGCUAACUACGUG
rnacentral:rRNA from 1 species